AACCCGACUCCACGAAGUUGGAUUCGCUAGUAAUCGCGCAUCAGCCAUGGCGCGGUGAAUACGUUCCCGGGCCUUGUACACACCGCCCGUCAAGCCAUGGGAGCCGGGGGCGCCUGAAGUCCGGGACCGCGAGGACCGGCCUAAGGCGAAACUGGUGACUGGGGCUAAGUCGUAACAAGGUAGC
rnacentral:rRNA from 1 species